rnacentral:sRNA from 1 species
CACUAUUACUCCACCACCCAGAGGUAACCACAAUUAAUUUUAAACUAUGUCCUUCUAGUAUUUGUUCUGUUCAUACUCAUACAUGUAAUCUUCUGUUUCUGGUUCUAGAUCAUGCCUCUAUUUUUGUACUAACCUCUCGCAGACAAUACAGGCACUGCCUGGUGCUGGUGUCCAUGGGCUUCUCAGUAACAAGAUAGCUAGUAUUGCUUCUGUUGAAAGCAGGGAAUCUGUCAGCCUCUCAGAUUACUAACUACACUCUUUCACCCCUCCCUCUUUCUUACCUUUUUUUUUUCUUUUUGAGACGGAGUCUGGCUCUGUUGCCCAGUCUGGAGUGCAGUGGCACAGUCUUGGCUCACUGCAACCUCCACCUCCCGGGUUCAAGCAUUUCUGCUGCCCCAGCCUCCUGAGUAGCUGGGACUACAGGCGCCUGCCAUCACGCCCAGCCAAUAUUUGUAUUUUUAGUAGAGACGGGGUUUCACCAUGUUGGCCAGGCUGGUCUUGAACUGGUGACCUCAAGUGAUCCACCCACAUCGGCCUCCCAAAGUGCUGGGAUUACAGACGUGAGCCACACCUCCAGUCUUUUGAUCUGAACAAAGCUAUUAGCCUUUUUCACCUGAAAACCACAGUUGUUGCCAGCUAAUCUGAAAAGGCAGGAGGUCCGGGAUUGUUGUCAUCUACCUGGAGCGAUAAGGGUGCAGGGGAAAGCAGAGAAAAUAGUGACUGUGGGAAGAGAACCAAGUUGACCUAGAAAACGCUAAAACUUUAAGGAUUAUCUAACCCCCAGUAGCACCGAGACACUGUGGUUUAAUUCUCAUAAAGUUCAAAUAACAGAACAGCCGUGCCGGGCUAUCACUGAAAUGGUCAAACCUCCUGUCUUGUGACCUUUCCUUCUCUUCAGGGUUCCCCACUGAAGGACUUGGUCCAGCUGUCUGGCAGGGAGGAGAGACAGAAGCUCUGGCCCGCCUGGAUAAGCACUUGGAACGGAAGGCCUGGGUUGCCAACUAUGAGAGACCCCGAAUGAACGCCAACUCCCUCCUGGCCAGCCCCACAGGCCUCAGCCCCUACCUGCGCUUUGGUUGUCUCUCCUGCCGCCUCUUCUACUACCGCCUGUGGGACCUGUAUAAAAAGGUGAAGCGGAACAGCACACCUCCCCUCUCCCUAUUUGGGCAACUCCUGUGGCGAGAGUUCUUCUACACGGCAGCUACCAACAACCCCAGGUUUGACCGCAUGGAGGGGAACCCCAUCUGCAUCCAGAUCCCCUGGGACCGCAAUCCUGAGGCCCUGGCCAAGUGGG